rnacentral:rRNA from 1 species
GCAAGUCGAACGUGAAGGCCGAGAUGAAGACUUUGGUUUGAUUUUUGGUUGGAAAGUGGCGAACGGGUGAGUAACACGUGGGUAAUCUGCCUCGAAGUGGGGGAUAACUAUUGGAAACGAUAGCUAAUACCGCAUAGUCUUUUCUUUAUGGGAAUAGAGAUUAGUAAAGCUCCGGCGCUUCGAGAGGAGCCUGCGACCAAUUAGCUAGUUGGUGGGGUAAAGGCCUACCAAGGCGACGAUUGGUAGCUGGUCUGAGAGGACGAUC